UUCAUUCAGAGCUUGUAACUCAAAUACUAUCUUUAAUUCGACCUAAAAAUUUACUAUAUUUUGGCAUAGGUUAUUUUUUCCUAAUCCUGGUUUAGUUUAAAAUUUUAUAAAAAUUAUGGAUUACUUUGAGAAUGCACAAAUUGGUGGUUAUCGGAUCGAUAUGCCAUUUCCCCAACUAUUUUAUCCCGAGAUGAACGGCACUAAUAAGAGCUACGAUCAGGCAGGUGCUCCGCAUAUGAGUGGCCAACAAUUCCAAAGCGAAUAUUACGACGGCGGCUGCAAGCCGGACCUUGGCCAUUCACGGUAUGGAUGCAAUGAGGAUUACCCACCCCGGCAUUCCGUGACCAACAGCUCGUUCGAAUAUCGUAGCAUGAGCCGUAAUAAUCGCAGAGCCCGGGAAAUGUUGGCCCGCAAUGGUUUAUAUACACCCAAUGAUAGAUGUAAUAAGCAGCAGCCUGAGUAUCCUCAAUUUGCGGAUGAUUCUAUUGGACAGUCGGUCACGGUCAACUCGUAUUGGCAAUAAUGGUGAUGUCUCGAACUCCAUUCUUUAUUAUAUAAGUUAUUUUCGUAGUAAAAGUUCGUUUUCGGUCAUAUAAUGAAUGCCAGGACGGACGUUCGUCUUUCAAAAAUUCCUUAACAGAAUAAUAUGUGGAAAAUUGGUGGAAGGACGUUGCAAAACCUCAGAUUGGAUAGUUUAUCAAUUCUAGCGCCUCAUUGGCCGGGAAAAAUCGGGGAUAAAUGUGAAGCUCGCUGCGGGGGUCGGGGGAUGCUGCUGUAGGGUAAUUAACGUGUGUUUUAUGGGCAUUUGCCACAGCAUAGAAACACACGCAGUCCGAAUUGUAUUCGCACCGGCUCCCGCUCCCACACUGCGGCUGCAUGCAGACCGAACCCGGGAUGGAGCUCAAGGCGCCCAAACCAAACAGAAUGCAAUGAAGGAUUAAAAUAAGAAAGAUGUGCAAAUAAAAUAUUUUACAAACGGACAAA